rnacentral:rRNA from 1 species
UACGGAGGGGGCGAGCGUUAUUCGGAAUUAUUGGGCGUAAAGGGCGCGUAGGCGGCUUGACAAGUCAAAGGUGAAAUCCCUCGGCUCAACUGAGGAACUGCCUUUGAAACUGUCUGGCUUGAGGCCGGGAGGGGGUAGCGGAAUUCCCAGUGUAGCGGUGAAAUGCGUAGAUAUCGGAAGGAACAUCAGUGGCGAAAGCGGCUUCCUGGACCAGAACUGACGAUCAGGCACGAAAGCGUGGGGAGCAAACAGG